rnacentral:sRNA from 1 species
AAGGUAUAGUGCUGUAUAUGAGUUGCAUUUUCAGUAAAGGAGUUUUGCGUGUUGAAGAUUUCGUUGCAUACCACUUCUCUCUGCCAAUCCUUAUCUUAUAGUGCCUCAAGCAGUAACGAUUCCAGUUGAUCUCUGUGUCGCUAAAGAGCGAUUUCAAUACUCCAAAGGAAAUAUGCAAGAUGGCAAAAAUAAAAGGUCAAGUGAAGUGGUUCAAUGAAUCUAAAGGUUUUGGUUUCAUUACUCCGUCCGAUGGAAGUAAAGAUGUGUUUGUUCACUUUUCUGCUAUUCAAGGUAACGGUUUUAAAACCCUGGCCGAAGGCCAGGGUGUGGAAUUCGAAAUCCAGGAUGGUCAAAAAGGCCCUUCAGCAGUAAACGUAACUGCCCUGUAAGUCCAAGUUGCUGUUGCAAUAUUGGGUUAUUUUAUUUAUAGAUAAGCUAUAA